CUCAUGGAGUCACAGCGACAGGCUGUUGCGGCCCAACAGGAGACAAACCGAUUAUUGGCUUUACAAAUGGACUGCAUUAUGGAAACACAGCGGGAAGACAGAGUAAAGCUAACAAGUGCUUUGCAACAAACCAUACUGUCAAGUGUGACUACUCCUACUAUGGAUAGGGGGCGCCGGAUUAGAGUUACUGACUUUUUACAUAAAGUGAGUGAGGUUGAUGACAUGGAAGCUUACCUGACAACCUUUGAAAGGAUUGCUACCCG